rnacentral:rRNA from 3 species
CAACUUUUAACAACGGAUCUCUUGGUUCUCGCAUCGAUGAAGAACGUAGCAAAGUGCGAUAACUAGUGUGAAUUGCAUAUUCAGUGAAUCAUCGAGUCUUUGAACGCAUCUUGCACCUGCUGGUAUUCCAGCAGGUACGCCUGUUUCAGUAUCA